rnacentral:rRNA from 1 species
UUGCACGCUGGCGGCAGGCCUCACCCCUGCAAGUCGAGCGGAUGAAGGGAGCUUGCUCUUGGAUUCAGCGGCGGACGGGUGAGUAAUGCCUAGGAAUCUGCCUGGUAGUGGGGGAUAACGUCCGGAAACGGGCGCUAAUACCGCAUACGUCCUGAGGGAGAAAGUGGGGGAUCUUCGGACCUCACGCUAUCAGAUGAGCCUAGGUCGGAUUAGCUAGUUGGUGGGGUAAAGGCCUACCAAGGCGACGAUCCGUAACUGGUCUGAGAGGAUGAUCAGUCACACUGGAACUGAGACACGGUCCAGACUCCUACGGGAGGCAGCAGUGGGGAAUAUUGGACAAUGGGCGAAAGCCUGAUCCAGCCAUGCCGCGUGUGUGAAGAAGGUCUUCGGAUUGUAAAGCACUUUAAGUUGGGAGGAAGGGCAGUAAGUUAAUACCUUGCUGUUUUGACGUUACCAACAGAAUAAGCACCGGCUAACUUCGUG